rnacentral:rRNA from 1 species
GGACUACCGGGGUAUCUAAUCCCAUUCGCUCCCCUGGCUUUCGUUCCUCAGUGUCAGUUACAGCCCAGCAAGCCGCUUACGCCACUGGUGUUCUUCCCAAUAUCUACGCAUUUCACCGCUACACUGGGAAUUCCGCUUGCCUCUACUGUACUCCAGUCCGCCAGUAUCCAAUGCAGCUCCGGGGUUGGGCCCCGGGAUUUAACAUCGGACUUAACGAACCACCUACGAACUCUUUACGCCCAAUAAAUCCGGACAACGCUUGCAUCCUACGUCUUACCGCGGCGGCUGGCAC